rnacentral:lncRNA from 1 species
GAUGAUACCGGUAAGAUUAGUACAUCUUGUAUAUGCUCGAUGGAGAGGAUGAUUGAUCUCAGAAUCACUUAUGUGAUGAUACUAAUACAAGGAUGUAGGUGCUCAUUAGAGAAUGAGUUCACUGAACUGACCCACAAAAAAAAUAUCUGAUGGAGCCUUAUAGCAUGUCGACAGAUAGUUCUCCAGUGGAAGUGGUGCAAGCGAUCCUUUGACCUA